rnacentral:sRNA from 1 species
UGUGAGGGUGCCUUACUUGUGGCCUUCCUCUCUCUGUGGUGGGACUGAUGCCGCCCAUCGGGCUCGCUAGGCAGACAACCCCUUUCCCUCCUCACCGGAAGCUUUGUGCUUGGUGCAAGAAGUCAGUCUCCUUCUCAAAUAAACAAGGACCAUCCUUCUGACUUGGAUAUGUGGGAAAUUGUGCUCCUCUGCUAAUCCUUCCAAAUGAUCCCUCAAGGUCCAAGAAGGAACUUGCAGGGUGUUUGUGAGGGGCAGAUGACAUCACAGAUAUAAAACACUCUGUAAACCCUGAGGGUUUCUUCCAUUUGGUU